rnacentral:rRNA from 1 species
CAAUGGGCGAAAGCCUGAUGCAGCAACGCCGCGUGCGGGAAGAAGGCCUUAGGGUUGUAAACCGCUUUCAGCAGGGAAGAAACUGACGGUACCUGCAGAAGAAGGUGCGGCCAACUACGUGCCAGCAGCCGCGGUGACACGUAGGCACCAAGCGUUGUCCGGAUUUAUUGGGCGUAAAGAGCUCGUAGGCGGUUCGGUAAGUCGGGUGUGAAAACUCUGGGCUCAACCCAGAGCGGCCACCCGAUACUGCCGUGACUCGAGUGCGGUAGGGGAGCGGGGAAUUCCUGGUGUAGCGGUGAAAUGCGCAGAUAUCAGGAGGAACACCAGUGGCGAAGGCGCCGCUCUGGGCCGCAACUGACGCUGAGGAGCGAAAGCGUGGGGAGCAAACAGGAUUAGAUACCCUGGUAGUCCACGCCGUAAACGUUGGGCACUAGGUGUGGGUCUCAACCAACGAGAUCCGCGCCGUCGCUAACGCAUUAAGUGCCCCGCCUGGGGAGUACGGCCGCAAGGCUA